GACGAACGCUGGCGGCGUGCUUAACACAUGCAAGUCGAACGGAAAGGCCUCUUUCGGGGGGUACUCGAGUGGCGAACGGGUGAGUAACACGUGAGUAACCUGCCCUUGUCUUUGGGAUAACUUCAGGAAACUGGGGCUAAUACCGGAUAGGAGCUCCUGCUGCAUGGUGGGGGUUGGAAAGUUUCGGCGGUUGGGGAUGGACUCGCGGCUUAUCAGCUUGUUGGUGGGGUAGUGGCUUACCAAGGCUUUGACGGGUAGCCGGCCUGAGAGGGUGACCGGCCACAUUGGGACUGCGAUACGGCCCAGACUCCUACGGGAGGCAGCAGUGGGGAAUAUUGCACAAUGGGCGGAAGCCUGAUGCAGCAACGCCGCGUGCGGGAUGACGGCCUUCGGGUUGUAAACCGCUUUCGCCUGUGACGAAGCGUGAGUGACGGUAAUGGGUAAAGAAGCACCGGCUAACUACGUG
rnacentral:rRNA from 1 species